GAUGAACGCUAGCGGCAGGCCUAAUACAUGCAAGUCGAGGGGCAGCAUAGUAGCAAUACUGAUGGCGACCGGCGCACGGGUGCGUAACGCGUAUGCAACCUACCCAUUACUGAGGGAUAGCCCCGGAGAAAUUCGGAUUAAUACCUCAUGGUAUCAAAGACAGGCAUUUGUUUUUGAUUAAAGAUUUAUCGGUAAUGGAUGGGCAUGCGUCAGGUUAGCUAGUUGGCGGGGUAACGGCCCACCAAGGCGAUGAUCUGUAGGGGGUCUGAGAGGAUGAUCCCCCACACUGGUACUGAGAUACGGACCAGACUCCUACGGGAGGCAGCAGUAGGGAAUAUUGGGUCAAUGGGGCGAGAGCCUGAACCAGCCAUGCCGCGUGCAGGAAGAAGGCCCUCUGGGUUGUAAAGCUCUUUUGCCGGGGGGAUAAAAGAUCCAUGCGUGGAGAAUUGAAGGUACCCGGUGAAUAAGCCACGGCCAACUACGUGCCAGCAGCCGCGGU
rnacentral:rRNA from 1 species